GACGAACGCUGGCGGCGUGCUUAACACAUGCAAGUCGAACGAUGAAGCCGGAGCUUGCUCUGGUGAAUUAGUGGCGAACGGGUGAGUAACACGUGAGUAACCUGCCCUUGACUCUGGGAUAACUGCUAGAAAUGGUAGCUAAUACCGGAUACGACCCUCGGAGGCAUCUCCAGGGGGUGGAAAGAAUUUCGGUCAAGGAUGGACUCGCGGCCUAUCAGCUAGUUGGUGAGGUAAUGGCUCACCAAGGCGACGACGGGUAGCCGGCCUGAGAGGGUGACCGGCCACACUGGGACUGAGACACGGCCCAGACUCCUACGGGAGGCAGCAGUGGGGAAUAUUGCACAAUGGGCGCAAGUCUGAUGCAGCAACGCCGCGUGAGGGAUGACGGCCUUCGGGUUGUAAACCUUUUUUAGUAGGGAAGAAGCGAAAGUGACGGUACCUGCAGAAAAAGCACCGGCUAACUACGUGCCAGCAGCCGCAGUAA
rnacentral:rRNA from 1 species